GAAUCUGUCCGUUGGUCGGGCUUCACUGUCCGUACUGGCGUGAUGGGUUCUUACCUUCUGAAUAACCAGCAUGCCAUUCACUUGGUGCGUUGGGGAAGCAGGACUAUUACCUUGAAAAAAUUAGAGUGCUCAAAGCAGGCCAGUGCCUGAAUACAUUAGCAUGGAAUAAUAAAAUAGGACGGCAUGGUUCUAUUUUGUUGGUUUCUAGGAUUGACGUA
rnacentral:rRNA from 1 species